rnacentral:tRNA from 1 species
GGAGGUAUGGCUCAAUUGGUAGAGUAUUAGCCAUGAGCAGAAAAGGCUAAGCCAGAGCAUAAUGCCCUGAGUUCAAGCCUUAGUACCUGCG